GCAUUGGUGGUUCAGUGGUAGAAUUCUCGCCUGCCACGCGGGACGCCUGGGUUCGAUUCCCGGCCAAUGCA
rnacentral:tRNA from 1 species